rnacentral:rRNA from 1 species
UAGUGAAGGCGCGGCCAGUGGCGGACGGGUGAGUAACGCGUGGGCAACCUGCCGCGCACAGGGGGACAACGGCCGGAAACGGCCGCUAAUACCGCAUAUUCCCGGGGGGCCGCAUGGCCCUGCGGGGAAAGCCCGGGGCGACCCGGACGGUGCGCGAUGGGCCCGCGUCCGAUUAGCUAGUUGGCGGGGCAGCGGCCCACCAAGGCGACGAUCGGUAGCCGGCCUGAGAGGGCAGACGGCCACACUGGGACUGAGACACGGCCCAGACUCCUGCGGGAGGCAGCAGUGGGGAAUAUUGCACAAUGGGGGGAACCCUGAUGCAGCGACGCCGCGUGGGUGAAGGAGCACCUCGGUGCGUAAAGCCCUAUCGGCAGGGAAGAAACAGACGGUACCUGACUAAGAAGCCCCGGCUAACUACGUGCCAGCAGCCGCGGUAAUACGUAGGGGGCAAGCGUUAUCCGGAUUCACUGGGUGUAAAGGGAGCGUAGACGGCGACGCAAGUCUGGAGUGAAAGCCCGGGGCCCAACCCCGGGACUGCUCUGGAAACUGCGGCGCUGGAGUACGGGAGGGGCAGGCGGAAUUCCUGGUGUAGCGGUGAAAUGCGUAGAUAUCAGGAGGAACACCGGCGGCGAAGGCGGCCUGCUGGACCGUGACU